GCCCAGAUAGCACAGUUGGUUAAGAGUGUGGUGCUGACAAUGGCAAGGUUGCAGGUUUGAACCCCAUCUGGGACA